rnacentral:rRNA from 1 species
UGGGGAAUAUUGCACAAUGGGCGCAAGCCUGAUGCAGCCAUGCCGCGUGUGUGAAGAAGGCCUUCGGGUUGUAAAGCACUUUCAGCGGGGAGGAAGGCGGUGAGGUUAAUAACCUCAUCGAUUGACGUUACCCGCAGAAGAAGCACCGGCUAACUCCGUGCCAGCAGCCGCGGUAAUACGGAGGGUGCAAGCGUUAAUCGGAAUUACUGGGCGUAAAGCGCACGCAGGCGGUCUGUCAAGUCGGAUGUGAAAUCCCCGGGCUCAACCUGGGAACUGCAUUCGAAACUGGUAGGCUAGAGUCUUGUAGAGGGGGGUAGAAUUCCAGGUGUAGCGGUGAAAUGCGUAGAGAUCUGGAGGAAUACCGGUGGCGAAGGCGGCCCCCUGGACGAAGACUGACGCUCAGGUGCGAAAGCGUGGGGAGCAAACAGG